rnacentral:rRNA from 1 species
AGUGAACGCUGGCGGUAGGCCUAACACAUGCAAGUCGAGCGGCAGCACAGUAAGAGCUUGCUCUUACGGGUGGCGAGUGGCGGACGGGUGAGGAAUACAUCGGAAUCUACUUUUUCGUGGGGGAUAACGUAGGGAAACUUACGCUAAUACCGCAUACGACCUACGGGUGAAAGCAGGGGAUCUUCGGACCUUGCGCGAUUGAAUGAGCCGAUGUCGGAUUAGCUAGUUGGCGGGGUAAAGACCCACCAAGGCGACGAUCCGUAGCUGGUCUGAGAGGAUGAUCAGCCACACUGGAACUGAGACACGGUCCAGACUCCUACGGGAGGCAGCAGUGGGGAAUAUUGGACAAUGGGCGCAAGCCUGAUCCAGCCAUACCGCGUGGGUGAAGAAGGCCUUCGGGUUGUAAAGCCCUUUUGUUGGGAAAGAAAAGCAGCAGGUUAAUACCCCGCUGUUCUGACGGUACCCAAAGAAUAAGCACCGGCUAACUUCGUG